GAGCGACGCGGAUUGGGCGGAGGCCUCCGUGGGGGUCACCGAGGAGGUGGUCGCCUACGCGUGGGAUGCCACUUCCCCCUCCUCCCCGGCGAUGCCGACUCUGGUGAUUUCGACAUGACUGAUGCGCAGCAGGACCAGGUGCUGGCCGUCGAGGGCGCGGCGCCAGAGCUGGCUGAUCUACGGAUCGAGCUCUACCCUAGCCACAUGAGCGAGGGCUGCUUCUGAAAAAUAUACUUCGUGCUGCGGCAUACUAAGCUCAUGAAGGAGGCUGCCGAGGUUCUGUCGACUCCACAGGUGAAUUUCUUGGCAUAAGUUCAUUGAGUUAGCCAUAUGAGCUCACUAAGUUAGCAUCCUUCCAUGAUCCAAUAAUAAAUUCACUUGGAUGAAUGACAGCAUAAAAUGUGUUAGCUCAGUGUUUUUUUUUUCAGAUUACUUCAGUGAAAACCAGCGCAAGUUCACAAGGUCAGCUUGAGGUUCAAUUUUUUUUUCUCAUGCACCUCUACAAUUUCUGAUCUAAGAGCACUCGUGUGAUAAUUGAUACCAUCCUCAUCUUUUUAUUUGAUUUGACCCAGGUUUUGGGUUCCAUGUGUUGUUCGUAUUAAACUUUCUAGCUUGAUUUAAUUUUGUAGCUUCAGACUUGCGAGUGAAUGGUAGGCUGAUUUUUCAUACUAACCAUUUGGUGGUAGAGUGAUAAGUAGUCAUUAACUAGAUUCAACAUUCUCUAUUAGCAACUAUAUAGACUUGUUCAUUAGCACCCCUUUAUAAUGUAUACUAUAUCCCAAUAUCUGUAGGCCGCAUCUAAUGGAAUUUGGAUUUCACAAAUGGUGGCUAAUUGCAUGAAAACAAACUGUAAGUCUUCAGACUUGAUUUUGUUUGGAUAUAAACAGCUAUGGAGACAAUACUUUCAGAAUGUUACUUCAGUGAUAUUUGGUUUAUGGGAUUAUGGUGCAAAGUACAAAUAAAAAACUGCACACUCUAGAAUUAGUACAUGGAGUACAAUUAGAUACAUGUAGGUGCUUCUUGUUAUUAGCGACGGGAGGUCACAUAGUGCUUCUAGCUGAACAUUGUAUCACAAUGACAACAUCAAUUGGAGAGAACAGGGAGGGAACAAGUUGACCAAUCCCUACAUUAGCGAGAAAUCUGUACAAAUCUAUUCUAACAUUCAAUCACACUUUCAUUAAUCAAUAAUGCUACAUCUCUGGAACUUCACUGAUCCAGAUUGUUCAUUCAACUGCUUUUAAAGUGUUCUCCUCUGAAAUACAUCUGAAAUCUGUUCCGAGUAGAAUCGCGAGUCAUUAUUUUUACCUAACAGUUCAUAUUAUGUCUAGAGUUUUACCCUGAUGUCUGAAUAGCAUGCAAUCCUGCCUUUUAAGGACAUCAUCUAUUGUGCAUAUAGGUGCUCCUGAAGCCCCCAUUGCCAUCCGAAAACCCCUAAAGCUGAGACAAUAUGGUCGAAUAUUCAAGGGGCGUGUAUCUUUUGAGCGUGUAGGGGCUCCUGGAUUAUAGUGCUAUAGGUGGUUCUGAAUUUAGUGUUGAUCUGAGGCAAAUGCACUUGAGAAUAUAUAGUUCCUCUUUGGUUUUUGAUUAUGUUUGGAUCUCAUCUUGAUCUUAUUUUCACCGAGGGCUAAAUAUUCUAAGUUGCUUAUGCGGGUUAGCUGACAGCCUUGACUACUGUCCAAAAAAUCAAAUGAGUCUUCAGAAAUAUUGUCAAAAUAUGAAUGUUUUGAAGAUAUUUAUCCGCACCCGCAUCCACAUGUUGCGGCAUCACUGUUGGCACCACCAUGCAGCAAUGGAAGGAGGACAACACCGUGCAAGGGUAUGUAUAUAUUGCUAAUUGUCCAGAGAAAUGUGUGAUUCGUUCAUGGUACAAGCCUGUGGUCAAAAGUGUUCUUUGGUGGAUUUGGCUUAUCAUAUAAACUGCCAUUUGAUAGAAUGGUGGUGCUUAGCAGAUCAUCGGAGAUGGUGAACAAGCGCUAGCGCUGAGAUGAUUGAGAAAUAGCAGCCCUCGGAUGAUGGAGAAGUAGCAGCCCACCAUGACCUACCAGGCAUGUAGGAGGGAUGCCCAUGUGAUUGGAUUUUCUUAAUUUUUCUAUCGCAAAUUUGAAGUGGUAUGUGCCUGGUUAUUUAGUUCGAUAGAAGCUAAAUCAUCAUGUCCAAUGCUCUAAGAGUUGGAUACAUUACCACCACUAUAGACGCCUUCAUUAGACGAUAUUCAUGCGUGUUCACCUGCGGCUGCAGUGGCAUGGAGGUAAUACAAAAAUUUUGUUUUCUAUUUUUGUGUCAUGCCCUCCUCUAAUCAUAUCUGUACAUAAAGUGGUAUAAUUACUACAUCAAUUUUUGUCCAGCAUUGCAGCAUGGUUAGUUAGAAAAAUAUAUAUUCUUCAUCUCUUCCCUCUUCUACUAAAUACAUUUCUAAACAACAAGAUUAUUAUCCCAAUUCUCAGCAAACCAUUCAUGUUGUUUCUGACCAACACAAUUAUUGUUCACCUUCCUGUAGCUAUGGUUAUUAUGUGUUCAUGAUCUGGGUUGGAGGGAAGCUAGAGGCCAAAACUAUUUGUUAUUGUAGUUUUUCUAUAGUUUCUUGCUCUUUUGUGCUUCUUCUCCCUUUUGUAGGACCUGCUAUUAGCUUCUUUGGUUUCAAAGCUCGUGCUUUGGUCUUGUAAUUUUAAUCCUAUAAAUAUUAUAUUAUGUGAUUUAUGCAAUAAAAUGUGGAAAAUCAGUUAGUGUUUUGUUGUCAAUCGAAGGUUAUUCUCUAGAAAACUUGUGCUUAGAGAUCUCUGAAAUAAUUAUCGGAAUUGUUCAUCGUGUUUUCUCUUGCUCCGUAAAACAGUGCCAAUGAUGGAUUAAAGAAAGCCUUGAGUGAUUAAUAUUUAGUUUUCAAGGUAAUGUAACUAUUCUGUAAGUUAUAACAAUUCUAUUCCAUGAUGUAAUGAAUGGAUAAAGCAUUGAUAUAUAUUUAACAUUUUUCCAGGAACAUACUGCAAUUUGACAGUUCUAACUUUCUUUGAAUCUAUGCAUGCAUAAUAGGGAUUAUGGUAUCUGUUUGAUCCCCUGUCUGAUCCCCUCAACUGUGCAUCCACGCCUGGUUUUCCAAAUGGGAAUGAAGCAUAUGUGCUGGUGAGGACUAAGAGUUAUCUGGAAUUUCAAGCUUGAAGCAUUUCGCCCAUUUUUGUUCUACACACUUUACAGUUGUACCACUGCCCCCGUUUGCAAUUUGCUAUGUACUAAUUCAUACAACUUAGAUGGCUUGGGUAAUAUGAUUGCUUUUUAAGAAAGUUGUAUUAUGAACCCACCCAAGUUAAUUCUAAUGCCGUGGUAUAUGAGAUAUCUGGUGUCCUGAUUC